AAUUUUCAUUAGAUUUGAGUUAAUGAAAGUAGUAAUGGUAAUUUCUACAUUAAUUUUAAUGUGUAGUUCUUGCUAAAAGAUGUACUUAAUCUUUCUCUAUUAUCGCCUUGUUAUCCCUAAUUGUUACUCUUAGUGGUGAGAAGAUUAUUGUUGUUGUUAAUAAUGUUAUGCUCUCACAUUUUUUAUUUAUUUAUAAAUUACACAUUGUUUAUUCUGUUAGUUCUUGGUAUUAUGUGUCUAGUUGUUUCAUGGAGCUGUGAAGAGUUUCGUAAUAAAGCAGACAGUAGCUAUUAUUGUGCAUAGCAACAGCCCUAUGAUAAAUGGUAAUGAUCCCUUGAAAUGACACAUCGAAUAGGACCUGACAUUUUCUUCGUUAUGUGUGUAAUUUUAUGCUUACUGGUUACUGCUCUAGUGGCGGUGCCUGAAUAAUGAACGAAGAAACAAGUGGCUGUUUCGAUUUCCGAGUAGGAGAAUUGGUGGUAAGCGUGCACAAAUAACUCUAAUUAGCAAAAUGUUCUUACCGGGAAUUCGAGGUAUGGAUGAUCUGUUGGGUAAGAUUGAUGAGUCUCCUUCGUUGGUACGCUUGCUGUUCUAAGAUGGGAGUGGUACCUGCAAAAGAGACUCCGAUACUAAAGUUAGAGUUUGUAUGAGUAUAAGUUUCGUAUAAAUAAUGCACGUACCUUUGUGUGUAUUAAGGUUUUGUUGGACCUUGGGUCCGAGAUCAGUUUAUGACCUAAUUAGAUAGCGAGCCGAUGUCGCCUAGCGCGUGUCCAAAGUCAUUCCAAGCUGUGAUGCCGAACUCGAGCUCGGCCUGACGUGUUUUGUAGUGUUUUGUGCAAUUCUGACGGUACUUCCCUUCAGCGAGUUUUGAGCAGAAAACCCAAAGGAAAAACCCCAAGGUACGCAUAGCUACUAUUCAUAUUUAAACGGAAAAUUAUUCUUGGAAUUUUCAGAACCUACAUCUCUUCUUCCCUCUCUAUAUGAUCUCAUCGACCAUGCAAAACUGAAGAGGAUUAAUUUUCAGCCCAGAUGCUCCCACACUCUUUGCCUCUCUUCAAUCCCUCAGAUUUGAUUUUAUCCAUUUUGGUUUUUAGUUUAUAUUAUGUUCUCGUUUGAAUAUAUUAUGAAGUCAGUAGCAAAAGAAAAGAGAACAACUAUGGUUUUUUAUUUGGUUUUAAGUUGAAUUGUAAGGUUCAGAAUCAUCUGAUACAGAUUUCAGUCAUCUUCUGUCUCCUAGAUUGGAGUUUCUGCAGGUUUAGAAGGAGAGGAUAUUCUAUUAGGAGAAUACACAUCAAAAAGCUAUGAAUGCCAAAGUUUUGUUCUUUCCCUUUGUGAGGUUAUGUGUACUCAUGCGCUGCCAAGAUUAUAAGUAUUUCUACACCACCAGACUUUAUUUGUUUGAUUUUCCUCCACUAAAAUUUUUAACUUUAGAAAAUAUUUAUUUUUCUCAAGAGUUUAUUAAUAGAAAUUAGUAUACUUCCCGAAGUGGGGGAUAUUUUGAGGAAGAACAAUCAUUGACAGUUUUAUUUUGAAAUGGAAGGAUUGAUAAUUGUUAAAAUAGUUCGAUUGUGUCAUUGAUGGUUGGAAUGGUGUGAAAUAGUCGAUAAGAGAGAAUCUCUUACUCAUGAAAGCAGUGAUUUAUGAAAACUUUUCCAGAACUUGUUGGGUAUCGUUCAUCAAGUAUGGCAACUCUAAUCAAAGAAGCAUGGGGUACAUGGAAGAUUGUGAACGAACCCUUGUAAUCCUCAACAAUUUGAUAUCUACUCAAGAGGGUGGAGAUGCAACUAGGGUGUUGUGUUGGAUUCAUUCUCCAUUUUGCUGGAUGUGUUGAAUUAGAGGAAUUCACUAGAAUGCCAAGAAAAGGCAUUGUACAUUUUGACCUUUAUAACAUACAAACCAUAUGAUGAUAAAUAGGUAUAGUUGAGGUUACUCCCCUCCUUCCACACCCUUGACCUCUCCUUUAACAACCUCUCUGGUGAGAUUCUCGAGUGAUUGAAGAAGAUUUAGUAGUAUAGGGUGAUGCAUUUGUGGGUUGUGCCCCCUAUUAUUCUUGCUUUGGCUUUCCUAAAAGUCAAACUACAUAGAACAAAAAAAAAAGAACAACUUAAAAUUGGUUUUAGUUUUAAAUAAAUUGAAAUUUAAAACUAAAAUCAUCCAAUCGGCCCUAAGUUUCUUACUUUUAAGAUUCUUGUUAUCUAUUAUUUGUUAUAUAUUGUUUUAACUAAAAUUGAAAUCACCCAAUAGGCGUGAUUGAGUUGGCCAUACAUGUUGAGCUUAUGAGGGGUGACUUGAAUUUGUUUCUAGCAUAAAAUAUCUUUAGGAAAGGGUGAGGAGCUUUAAGUGUGUUGGCUCAAAAAACCAAAGCUUGCAAAGAUAGCUCAAGGUCCAACUUGUUAAAAUGAUAGCUCACCAACAAGGGGGCAUUGAAUUGGUGUGUAAAAAAAUUAUUAGAAAAAGUGUUACCUCCCUAGGACCGUUCUUUGAAAACAAAUAUCUUUGUAUUUAAAUAUUUUCUUUAAUGAGUUGAUCAAAACAACUAGAAAUCAGUCAGCCAUUUAGAUUGAUGAAAGAACAUUCAAUUGAUCAAUGAAGCAUAUUAAGAUUAUCAUGAAACUAAAGUUGAGAGAUAGAGAUAAUCACACAUCAAGUUUUAUACUAGUUGACUUUCAAAUUGAGAGUUACAUCUAGUCUUUUGUAAUUCACCAUUAAUUACAAGACUUCCACUAUAUGCAAAUUGCAAAGAGUUGCAAUUAACUUAAUCAACACUAGAUCCCUAACAGUGACCUUUGGUUUCAUAUUUACAAUUAGGAAACCCUUUCUUAGCUUUUACACUCGAGAAACCUAUUUCAAGAUUACACUUUUUUCAAAUGGAAUUACAAAACUACCUAGAAAUCUACAUAAAUUUCUAUAGCGAGAUAGUAUGAAACAAUUUAACCUGCAUGAAGCCUUUUCCAAUUGAUCUUUUUAGUUUCUUGAAAACAAUAACUGAAUUCUUGGUGAAAAAACUUCAAGAUAUUUGAACUCUUUGAUCCAAAGUGUUUCUUGUUAUCACCCACAUGUGGUUAUCACUCUUCAUCACUUAGAGGAGAAUUUUGAAUUUUUAGUGCACUUUGAGAAUUUUUGUAU